CUUUCUACACAGGUUGGGAUAAGUUGCAAUGCUGUGUGUGUCAGUGGUAUUGCACUUGUCCCGGCCUGUUGAGGUUGG
rnacentral:pre_miRNA from 1 species